UCCAAACAACAGUAAAGGCUCGAAAAAAAAAUCUGAUUAGUCUCCACUCAGAAUAUCAAUCGUUGACAUCCGAGUGGCUCCCUCAGCGCGCUUCAAAACAACCAAUGCGCACAGACAAAAACUCGAGAAAGAACUUCUCCGCGGAGCGUCCAUGCUUCAAAGAGCGGGCAGACACGAUCCUCACGCUCACCCCGGUUGCCAAGGCUGCCAAGAGGCUUCGUCUGGACCAGGGAAAUGGACAGAACCUGCCACUGCAACCCACCAGGCCGAUCGGGCAGACUCUGUGCCACUACCGCCCUGCCCUGCCACGUCCCUGGCUUCCCUGGGAAACUCUGGAUGUCGGUGGAGACCGACCUGAUGAAAUCAGAGCGGGAGUACAGACCUUCUCCCCGUUCUCCCUCCUCCUCUUCUAGCUUGUCUAUUUCCUCAAUCGUUACUUCCAGCGGGGCUGCGUUGAGCUUCUCUCACUGGGAACGCGUCGUAUUGCAGCGAAGCACAAUGAGCUGUCUGUACCAGCCAUCAGAACCACCACCACUACCCCCUGGACCAGCUACGGACCAUCCAGCUACGAUGCCCCGAAGUCGGCCUCAGCCUCUACCCCCCCUCUCUCCCAUCCACCACCACCACCUACUGAGCCAAUGGAUCCAGUGGAGAUACCCCAGCGAACAACGCCCUCUCCCCAGGCUUGGGUGACCGUAGCCAGGCUAGUGAGACUGGAGUGGCCUCUAUGAUGGAUGCCAGCACCAUGACUUCCACAAGCUGUCUGUUUUAAGUCCAAGCCUACCACCAUCACCACUAUCGCUGCCACCAUGGGGGAAGGAUGAGGAUUGGUGAGGAUUCCCGGGCGCAGCUCUGGCUAUCGAUGGCCUCCCCCUGGAUGUCUCACUUCAAGCCUCUCGGCACAGCAACACAAAAGAGCCGACAUACCUUCCUUUCCCUCCUCUUCCUCCUCCUUCGCUCUCGUUCUCACUCCACUUCAGCCCUGCGCUAAGUGUGGCUACAACCAGGGGGCUACAGCCCACAAUCUCCACCGCCGGCCCAAAGAGGGGAGACUAGGCCAGGGACGCUACCACCUUCAUCGCCCAUCCCGCAUAUACUCUCACAAAGAUACAUAGGCACAUCUAGAUUCAUAAAUGAAGAUACCCUGCAUUAUAUGUGGCUGUUUCUCUCUUUGUCCAUACAUUGUUCACAUUAUACUGCAUCUACCAGCUGCAAUAUUACAGCUGCAUCUCUCUAUUCUAUUCCCUGUGUGUACACUACUUUCAGAGCCCUAUAGACCCUGUUUAAAAGUACUAUGCUUGUAUUCGUUUAGACUGCACUUUGUUUGCCAACAGGGGGCAGUAGAAUCAUACCAUCGCACACACACACACACACACACACACACACACACACACACACACACACACACACACACACUAUUACAUUACAACAGCCACUUGUAUAAGUGUUUAUGUUGUGUGAGUUUAGGGGCUGCGUUCCAAAUGGCACCCUAUUCGCUAUAUAGUGCACUACUUUUAACCAGGAACAAUAGGGCCCUUGUCAAAAAUGUUAUAUAAAUUCAAGUCAUUAUAUAGGGCUUCACAAACACACACACACACACACAAACAGGUCUGAGUCUGGAGAUGAGCUAAUGUUGAAAGCCACAGGUACACAAGCAGAGCCUUGUAGUCUGAGGGUAAAGUGCUUAACCACAACCUCUCUCUCUCUCUCUCUCUCUCUCUCUCUCUCUUUCCCUCUCUCUUAAAGAACAGGACAAAGGACAACGUUUUUCCAGACAGAUCAAUAACUGUGUGUAUCUGUGUGUGUGGGUGGUCCCACAGGACAAAAGAGAGACGUAGAGGAGCCAAACCAAGCACAUUAAGUGUGUGGCCAUCUUGUAAGCUCUGUCUCUGUCCAUACUGGUCUCAUAGACUAGACUUGACAUAGUAAACGUAAAUCCGGGACACCCAAAUUAAUAUGAUAUGUUAAGUUUGGUACGGUUAAAUAAGACAGAAGGUUACUUAAGGCAAAAACGAAAGUAGGGUGGUUGAUCAUUUUAGCUAAUUAGCUACUUAGCGACUGCUUACUACUUUUUAGCUACUUUGCAACUACUUAGCAUGUUAGCUAACCCUAACCUUAACCCUUUAACCUACUUCUUAACUGUAAUGUAAGCCAGCUAGCAAACAUUAGCAUUAGCCACCUAGCCACCCCUAGCUAACGUUAGCCGCAACAAAUUGGAAUUCGUAACAUGUUGUACGUUUUUCAAAUUGGUAACAUAUUGUAUGAAUGGCAAUUCACUGAUAUGAAUACUGAUAUGAAAUGGAUGAUGGACAUCCACAAAUUAAUACGUACCAUACGAAACGUAACAUUUGAUUCUAAAUGGCGUGAUCUCAGAUUUACAUACAGAAUAAUACGAAAUGCUCUGAGACCAUGUUGCUCUGUCUGCUGUAUCUCAUUUGGGUGAUAACAAGCAGUGUCUGUAAUAUUGAUUUUUAGAGGGCAGACGGGGGAGGAAUGUGUGUGGUUAGAGAGAGGAGGGAGAGGCAGAGUGAUAGAGAGAAAGGAAGGGAGGGAGAGUAUGCAAGAGAGACAGGGCCAGAUAGAGAUUAAGAAGGAGAGAAUGAGAUAGAGAGAGAGAGCGGAAGGGAAGGAGAGAAAGAUGGUCUUUCUUCUAUCAACAGAUAAUGAAGUGUGUUAAAAGAAGAAUGUGUGUGCCUGGCACCAUUUGACUCUGGAAGUGAGGGAGGGAGAGAGAGAGAGAGAGCUGUUAAAGAGAGGCUUUGUGUGGUGAGAGCAGGGUUGGGGAGUAAGUUAUUACAUGUAAUCAGUUGCAUGUAAUCUUAUUACAAAAAAACAAACUGUAAUCGGUUAAAGUUAGUUCACGUUAACGUUUGUGUGAAAAUAUACAUCAUGACACCUUUCAAUUACAUUCAAUUCAGCAUUGGAAAAAAAGUGCACGUUUAAGUUUGUUCCACGUGAGCGAGUCUGACCAGAAGUCAGAGAUCACUAUGAUGACACACCAAAUUCGUUUGAUGGAUUUUGGUUGUCUUCUUCUAAUUCCUCUUAUGGGGAAAGUAAUCCAAAAGUAAUCUGAUUACGUUACUGAUUACAAUUUUGGACUGGUAACUAGUAACUGUAAAGGAUUACAUUUAGAAUGUAACUUACCCAACCCUGGAUGAGAGUAGGAUGGAUGAGCAGAGAGACUAGAGAGAGGCAAAGAGAAGUAUAGAGGUACAGUAUAUAUAGAGAGGGAAACUGGCAGGGAGAAAAGGAAGGUAGAGCUGGAGAUAUUAUAAAAAGGAAGGCGGGAGAAGGGAAGGAGAAAUUGUGUGUGAGAGGUAGAAAGAGAGGGAGUGUAGAGGCAGUGUGUUUAGGCAUAGGGUUCGAGAGAUAAAAAGAGAGAGAUAAAGACAGAGUGAGAGACAGAAACUGAAAGAACAUACAAAGAAAGCAGCACAUAUCAAAGGUGGAAAUUAUUACAUGUAAUCAGUUACAUGUAAUCUGAUUACAAGUAGUCCAAAAAGUAAUCAUCUAGUUUUUCAAAGUAUCUGUAAUCUAAUUACAACAUUUUUGCUGGUAACAGAACCGAUUAGUUGUUUUUGUUUGUAAUCAGAUUAUAUGUAAUCAGAUCUCCAACUCUCUAACUCCCCAAAUACCAUCUCUUGUCUAUCCUCCUUCUUUCCUCCUUUUCCCUUUCUCUUUUGUAAUUCAUACCCUCCCUUACACUUUCUUUGUCUCCUUCCCUCUAUUUAUAUGUUUUCCCUCUCUCUAGUCAGCUACUAGUUACAAACAGGAAGUGUUUUUUACGAGAACAUGCCCCUGGCUCCCUUUCUAUUUCUUUUCUAGUUUCAGCAGUGACGGACUGUGUGUGUGGUGCUGACAGAGGGGUUUUCUCCUUCUCUGCUGGCGCCCCCCUCCUACACACACACACACACACACACACACACACACACACACACAGCACCCUUCCUUUUAUAUCUUUGUUAUAUUCUGGUUGCCUGGCAGCAUAUUUCCUUUCUUCCUACCACACGCUCAUUAAUUACUCUCUCUCUUGUUUCUCUUCUGGGUCUCUCUCUCUCUUGUUUCUCUUCUGGGUCUCUCUCUCGUGCUCUCUCUUUCUCCUUCCCUCUUUCUCUCUCUCCACUCCCUGUAUUCUUCAUCCCUCCUUUCUGGACUGCAUGGGCAAACGCGAGUAGUUAUGGACGACACAGUGUGACUCUCUGACAGCUGGAGAAAGUAAGAGAGCCUUGUUUCUUGCUCCAGUGUAAUUCAGUGUAACCCCCCCGACCAUUAUUAGUUUAACUUCCUCUUUAAAUUGCCUAUUGAAUGAUGAUCUGUGAUAAUGGGCUAUAGUGGGUUAAUGGGGUUGUGACUUGUAGGGACAAUAGUUGCACUAUUGAAUCUGUGUGUGCAGUGAGAGAAUGUGAAUUAAGGCAUAAAGGCCACUUGGUUGCAGGUUGUGACUUCUUGGGCAACAGUGACAGCAUUGAACUGUGUGUAGAGAAUACCAAGCCAGUGUCAUUGUAGCACUAAGGCCACUAGGGGGCAUUGUGAUUUUAUGAUUUUUAGCUGUUGAAGAAGCAGCAGCUGUUCUGUGUUUGGUUUGGACCUCGGGAAGAACACGACAAAAUACAGAACACUUAUGGCCAAGUAUGUAUUAUACAGAACACUAAUGGACAUUCUAUCACAGAGUUAAAAGUGUAGCUGUUGAGGCUGGUUACAAGCUGUAACCAGCCUCAAAGAUAUAUGAGACAAGCUUUCUAAUCUAUGACAAUGAGAUGAUUUGUGUUUGCAAUAUGUUUGCUUGUAUGAUGGCUACACAUAGCCUGGGUGUCAGUAUUGUUUUUGCUCUCAUGCCAACUCUUUAUGGAAUUCCCAUGCUAGACAAUGACAAUGGAGAAGGCAAAAGCACAAACAGAUCUGGGGCCAGGCUAGGAUCAAAUGGUAUUGUGUUUUGAUGAUUUGGGUUCAUUCGACUUGACUUGUUUUACAUUUAACCCGUUCCUCGUGGGAAUGGGAUGAUUGUAGUAGGAGCUGAACACAUGCAGACAAUCAUCCUGGGAUUACAACAACUGUUGAGAUUAUCUAGUCAAAUAAACUGUUGUCACUUUAACUCUCAAUCCUAAUCUGUUGGUUUGGUUACAGAGACAGAUUAUAACCAAAUGGAAUUAGAAUUGGGUCAUUAUGGCAGAAUAAA